AGAGUUUGAUCAUGGCUCAGAACGAACGCUGGCGGCAGGCCUCAAACAUGCAAGUCUAGGGGGUGUAGCAAUACAUCACCGGCGGACGGGUGCGUAACGCGUGGGAAUGUACCUAUUGGUUCGGAACAACACAGGGAAACUUGUGCUAAUACCGAAUGUGUCCUUACGGAGAAAGAUUUAUCGCCAAUAGAUCAGCCCGCGUCCGAUUAGCUAGUUGGUGGGGUAAAAGCCUACCAAGGCGACGAUCGGUAGCUGUUCUGAGAGGAAGAUCAGCCACACUGGGACUGAGACACGGCCCAGACUCCUACGGGAGGCAGCAGUUGGGAAUCUUGGACAAUGGGGGAAACCCUGAUCCAGCCAUGCCGCGUGAGUGAUGAAGGCCUUCGGGUUGUAAAACUCUUUCGCGCACGACGAUAAUGACGGUAGUGCGAGAAGAAGCUCCGGCUAACUUCGUGCCAGCAGCCGCGGUAAUACGAAGGGGGCUAGCGUUGUUCGGAAUUACUGGGCGUAAAGCGCGCGCAGGCGGUUCUUCAAGUCAGUGGUGAAAGCCCGGAGCUCAACUCCGGAACUGCCAUUGAAACUGUAGAACUUGAGGAUGAGAGAGGUGAGUGGAAUUCCCAGUGUAGAGGUGAAAUUCGUAGAUAUUGGGAAGAACACCGGUGGCGAAGGCGGCUCACUGGCUCAUUUCUGACGCUCAGGCGCGACAGCGUGGGGAUCAAACAGGAUUAGAUACCCUAGUAGUCC
rnacentral:rRNA from 1 species